ensembl:lincRNA linc-54 ncRNA
GCAAACAUCAUUCCCAACGAUUGUGUUCGAUAUUCCUCCCUCUUCCCCUCUUCCCCAUAUUCCGCAGCGCCCGUUCAGUUUUUUUUGACACAUAAAUUUUUUGUUGUUGUUCUUUCUCUCUUCUUUUAUACAACCAUUUUAUCAUAUUUCAACAAAAAGUUAUAUUUAU